UGGCGAGCCACCGAACGAAACAAACACAGGCAUCUUAUCCAUUCACUUUGACCACACCCACAGCCACACACCUCCGACCUCCCCGGAGACACCCGAGAGCCUCACAACUCCUCCCCCAACAGCGCUCUCUCGUCGGUGGAUUCCGGCGGCGUGCCCGAAAGACCGCGGCGGAGGAGCUCGUGCGGGUGGCUUCCGCGGCGCCGUGCCCGGAUACCUCGACGGAGGAGCUCGUGCGGGUGGCUUACCCGGCGGUGUGCCCGGAGACCGCGGCAGGAGGAGAUGCUCCCGGAGCACGAGCUCGGUGCUGUCAAGCGAUCGUGCUCGGGGCGGCUCCGGCGAUGCACAGGGAGCCGCUUGAGUGCAGAGUAACCCACCCUCUCAGUCCUGGCAUAAGCACUAACUGAAUCUGAUUUCGUGAGCAGCACAUGCUGUAUGCAGACCGAGAGUGCGAUUCAGAAUAAAUAGUCACACUCGCACCAUUGUCAUGAAGCAGGGGCCAACCGUGAGUUUCUAAUGCAUUCCAGGAGUAACUAUUUUCGAGUCAAUAGGAUAAGGAAAUUGUUGUUCCUAUGAUAAUGCCAUGAAAAUGGUUUGAGAAGACAGUGACACUUUUUAUGCUCGAUGUUUAGACAGUUUGCCUCCUAUCAAAUUCAGAUUAAGGUGUGUAGAUGAUUUUUGCAGAAUCUACACAUGGCAAAUCGACAAAUUGUAGACUUGGAUGAGGGCACCGGAUUAGUGUAUGUUUUGGGCAUUAUUUUUUUCAGAACCAACCUUUUGAAUUAGUGUUCAUUCAAAUUUUACUACCCAUGCCAAAUUCAGCCAGAGACCCAUGGCAACUUAAUUUCCCCCUAUGUUUUACAGGGGCUUUCAGGUGAUUCUUUUAGCCAUGGCAACUAAAUUCCCCCUCCCUUGUGUUUUUGUAGGGGGUUAAGAGGAUUCCUUUUUGCCAUGGCAAUUUUAUUAUGUGCUGUAGUUGCACAGAUAGUUUGCCCCAUGGGGGUACGCAUCCCCUCAUUGCUUUUUGACCAAUCUUUUAAAACCAUUUUUUGCAUUUACUGUGUGAGGUUUCUUGGAAUUUGGAGCAGUUUGCGAGUUAGUUUAGUUGGGAAAUCACAUUAGGUGUAGAUAGUGGUUUGCUCCCCCUCUCCUUCACCUCUGACAAACUGGCAUGGCAAAUUUACAUAAGGCGUGUAGAUAGCUUUAGUUGGGAAAUUCACGACCUAUAAAUGACCAUGGUAAUUAGUAUGUUUUCUUGCCGUGGCAGUGGCACCUUAUAUUUUUUUUUAUUGCCAUGUUACAUAGUCGUGAUUUGUGAAGACAAUUUGUGUUUAUUAAAUUCACUAGAUGUCCCACGGCAAAUUCAGUUUAAUCCUCAUGGCAAGUUUCUUUUUUCAAGAUGAUGUCAACUUUUUUUACCAUGGCAAUUUUGAAAAUGAUUCUGCCAAGGCAAAUUCAAUUUAAUGAUCAUGUCGAGUUUCUUUUUUCAAGACGAUAACAACUUUUUUUACCAUGGCAAUUUUUAUAGUGAUUUUGCCAUGGCAAAUUCACUAGAUGUCCCACGGCAAAUUCAGUUUAAUGGCCAUGGCAAGUUUCUUU
rnacentral:rRNA from 1 species